rnacentral:rRNA from 1 species
AGAACCUGAAACCGUGUACGUACAAGCAGUGGGAGCACCUUCGGGUGUGACUGCGUACCUUUUGUAUAAUGGGUCAGCGACUUAUAUUCUGUAGCAAGGUUAACCGUAUAGGGGAGCCGCAGGGAAACCGAGUCUUAACUGGGCGUUAAGUUGCAGGGUAUAGACCCGAAACCCGGUGAUCUAGCCAUGGGCAGGUUGAAGGUUGGGUAACACUAACUGGAGGACCGAACCGACUAAUGUUGAAAAAUUAGCGGAUGACUUGUGGCUGGGGGUGAAAGGCCAAUCAAACCGGGAGAUAGCUGGUUCUCCCCGAAAGCU